GAGGGGGACUGUGAAAAGGCCUUCUUCAAGAUGGACAACGUGCUCAUAGAUGACCGACUCGUACAUGUGGACUUCAGCCAGUCUGUCUCAAAGAUUAAAUGGAAAGGCAAAGGUAAUCAUUUAUUAAAACAUAACUCAUUAACUUCCUUUUAAUAUUUUGGGUUUUUCAGUAUUUCCAUUAUAUAUACUUUCAGAGACUUUAAGCCUCAAUCAGGCACUUUAGCUAAAGGAUGUGCCAUUUACCUUCUCUUCUAAGUAGAGAAAUUAACAAGGUAUUUUGGGGUUUUCUAGGUGGGAAGUAUAUGAAGGAUGACUUCAAGGCCUAUGAAAAAUAAGUGGGAUACAAAUGAGCUCUUAAGGAUAAAGUCAAACCCAAGCCAGAGUAUCCUUAAAUGUUUUUAUAUUUGCUACUCAUAUGAAGUGAAAGAUAGGGGUUAGAACUGUGUAAAAUAACUAAACUGUGCACCAUUUCACAUAGCAAUCAGGUUAGAGAGGUCAACUAUUGUAAAGAUGUUUCUGUUGGAGGAAAUUUCUCUGGAAGAAAGUGUUUCUCUUUGCAAUGUUGUCUUGGCAAACCUUUUAAAGAAUUACUCUCUUUACUUAAGUUUUACUUAAUGGUCCCAAAAGCUCCAAGUACGACCUGCUUUUAGAGGAAGAAGGAACAAGCCAUUGGCAUGCUGAGAAGAAACACAAAGACAAGAAGCACAAUCACUCAGACAACAAGGACACCAGGAAGUCCAAGAAAUCCAAGUGGGACAGGGAGGAACCCCGGUGGGAGAAAAAGACAGACUGGCAGCAUUCUCACUCCAGGGAAAGAGACGACGGCGAUGACCACCAUAAGCACAGCAUGUCCCAUGAAAAGCACCGCCCGGAGGGCCUUGACAAGGGCCACAGGGAGAGUAGCCGUAGUCACUCACCCAAGAAGUCUAAAGACAAGGAGAGGAGCAGACACCGAUGAUGAGAGAGGAAUGGGAUUGCGGUCCGUUCCAUUUCAACUUCCAUCAAUUAUGGAUUUGGAAAUUCCUCUUUAAAAAUAAAUGUCCGUUCUUUUCAUGAAUUUACUAAAUUUAAAUGGAAUUGGUCCUCCCAAAUACCUGCCUCUGUGGCCCCUACUACCCUACCACGACCACCCAUGUCUGGGAGAGCAGAACCAGGGACUCAUCAUGACUAAAACCUCAGCAGUUAGUAAGGUUGUGUAAGUAUAUUUGUUUUUUAGUUUGACUUAUACCUACCCCACCUCUCUUUCUCUGUUCAUCAAAAAGGGGGGUGAAUUAUUUUUUCCCCCCCAUGUUUGUCUUUGACCUUUUACUGUAGUUUCUUACAGAUUUUAUAGAGUAAAUAAAUUAAGUGGGCAUGGAAAACAUGAGUUGUGUUUCUGAGUGAGUGCACUGCAAGGGAAUUCCCUGUGUAACCCUCUCCACGAGGUCGGCCAGUGUGAUAUCACUGAAAUAGCAUGAUAUCUCACCUUCCACCUCGCUGCGUGAAAACAAGUGGGAGUAAGCUAUGCUAGCUGAAAGUUGUGUGGGCUACAUCUCUAAAUGAGGGAUCCUCUUUUGGCGACAGUUUUAAAUGUUUUGGGUCUGUGUAUCUUGGCAGUACUGUCAGAAAGGGUAUCAGUUAGCCCAACCUGAAUCCUGUGUUGGAAGUAUAUUGGGAUGUGAGGGGAAAACCAAAAGAGAGCUAGGCUAUAUUUAAUUCGAUACAGUCCUGACCAAAAGUGUUCAGAAUAAUGUUUUCAGCCUUGGCAGUCAUAGAAGAAUAGCACAGUGAGGGUUAGUGUGUGUGCAGCUAGCGAACAGUCGUUGAGUUUUCCACAGGGCCUCUCCUUGUGCAAUGCUGUGGGCCACCACUUCUAGCCCCCUCUGAGUUCCCUGAAUUAAAGCAAGAGAGACCCAAAUCAUUUCACAUUUGGUUGUUUCUCAGAAUGAGAUGCCAUUUUGAAGCUUCCCAAAAUGGGUUGUUUUUAACUUGUACUGAGUGUGGGGGUGGGGUGGUGGUGGAACCAGAUGGCUGUUGGAGGGAAGCCGGUGAGGUUUAGCGUGGUUCAAGUUGUAAAAAGACUGCAGAUAGACAGAGGUAUGUUUUGUUUUCCACCCCCAUAUCUAACCACUGUCAGACUUCCCCAACAGCCCACAGUACCUGAGUGAGAGCAAAUUGCACUUGACAAAAGGAGUGAAUAUAAUGGCACUGUAGAAAGCUAAAUCAUGAGCAGACAGUUGUAGGAUCCCACGGUCAGAAGCUGAUUCCCAUCAUUGACCAGAAUUAGGAAGAACUUGGGACCAAGGGAAGUGUACAGUCAGUCAUGCAUUUUGUUCCAGAGGCAGCCGGGUGUACAAAGUGAAAUGUCUCCCCACUGGGCACACACUGGUUGAUUCAAUGUUGUUUCAACGUAAUUUGUCAACAUAUUGUGAUGUGGAAGCAUAUGUGGAAAAUAAAUUGAAAACAGUAGUUUGAUUGGAUUUCAAAAAAAGUAAUCUCAUUUCAACCAGCAUUGUAAACACUGAAAUUAGGGUCAAACUUAACUAACAGGUUGUUACAUCAAUGUAUUUAAGUCAGUCAAUCUAAUUCCAACGUAAUCAUCAGAACUAUGUAUACAUUGAAAUUGUGUUAAAUACCACAAAUAAACGUUAAUCAUUUUCAUACUAUAUUGGGUGGUUGAAAUGGUUGAAUUUCAUAUUUGAUUAGGCAUAUUUUAUUUGGUCAUAUUUUAAUAGUAAAAUGGUAUGUUUGAAUCAACGUCAUUAUUUUAAUGUCAUGCCAACAACCUAAAUAAAGAGAUAUUGAAAUAAAAUGUGAAGCUACAGUCCAACAGUUCCUGCCAGAACAUUGCCUCCUACUGGUACAUGAGGGGUAACGCACUUCAGUGAGAACAAGUCUACCAUCCAGAUGCCGACAUCUAUUGUUCACACUGCAGACCGUAAUGCUCAAUACAGUUUUGUUACAAGUGACCAACUCCGAUUUGUGUUUGUUCAGACAGCAGUCAUUUGCUAACAUGGCUACUUUAGUUGUCAUAGUAAUGACGGGUAUUGUGCACAGUGAUUUAAGCUGAUUGGUGGUGCUCAUGCUUCCUAUCACUCAGAAGUUCUGUAGAAGACUAAGGUGACAAUGCCUGCCAUGGAUGUUGCUUUGAAUGUUCAAAAAGAUAAGAUGAGCCAAAUUUCAAAACUAGUCCUUUUUGUCUAGCCUCAGCAAUCAACUAGCUGGGUAGCUGUUUAGCUUUUGAGCACAUUUACUAAUUUGUUUGUAAACAGUUAACAAGCUAGUUAGCUACCACAUGUCCCUAAUAUACAGUGCAUUCUGAAAGUAUUCAGACCCCUUGACUUUUUCCAGAUUGUUACAUUAUAGCUUUAUUUAAAAAAUUGAUUAAAUACUUUCCCCCCGUCAUCAAUCUACACACAAUGCCUCAUAAUGACAAAGCAAAAACAGAUUAUUUUUUGCAUAUUUAAAAAAAAAAGCUGAAAUCCCAUUCCAUAAGUAUUCAGACCCUUUACUCUGUACUUUGUUGAAGCACAUUUGGCAGCGAUUACAGCGUCAAGUCUUCUUAAGUGUGAUGCUACAAGCUACGCACACCUGAAUUUGGGGAGUUACUCCCCUUCUCUGCAGAUCUUCUCAAGCUCCGUCAGGUUGGAUGGGGAGCAUCGCAACAGCAAUUUUCAGGUCUCUCCAGAGAUGUUCGAUUAGGUUCAAGUCCGGGGUCUGGCUGGGCCACUCAAGGACAUUCAAAGACUUGAAGCCACUCCUGCGUUGUCUUGGCUGUAUGCUUAGGGUCGUUGUCCUGUUGGAAAGGUGAACCUUUGCCCCAGUCUGAGGUUCUGAGCGCUCUUGAACAGGUUUUUUUAUCAAGAAUCUCUUUGUACUUUGCUCCUUUCAUCUUUCCCUCGAUCCUGUCUAGUCUACCAGUCAUUGCCGGUGAAAAACAUCACCACUGCAUGACGCUGCCAUCACCAUGCUUCACCAUAGAGAUGGUGCCAGGUUUCCUUGAGACGUGACACUUGGCAGUCAUGCCAAAGAGUUUAAUCUUGGUUUCAUCAGACCAGAGAUUCUCCCCCGAUUGCUCAGUUUGACCAGGUGGCUAUCUCUAGGAAGAGUCUUGGUGGUUCCAAACUUCUUCCAUUUAAGAAUGAUGGAGGCCACUGUGUUCUUGGGGACUUCUAAUGCUGCAGAAAUGUUUUGGUACCCUUCCCCAGAUCUGUGCCUCGACAGUCCUGUCUCGGAGCUCUACGGACAAUUCCUUCGACCUCAUGGCUUGGUUUUUGCCCUGACAUCCACUGUCAACUGUGGGACCUUAUAUGAACCGGUGUGUGCCUUUUUCGAAAUCAUGUCCAAUCAAUUUAAUUUACUCCAGGUGGACUCCAAGCAAGUUGUAGAAACAUCUCAAAGGUGAUCAAUGGAAACAAGUGGCAUC
ensembl:lncRNA